GCUUAGCUUAACAUGCCAAAUUAAUUUGUGAAUGUGUGUGAUCUUGUCUAUAAUAUGAAAAAUUCUUGAGAAAAUAUUCAAAUUCAAAAUGCUUAUAACUUAUACAUAUAUGGACAAAAUUUGCAGGGCUGAAUCCCGAAAUUUGGUAUUUAGGUCUCUGUUGGUGUCUGUGGUUAAGAUAUGGAAGUGGGUUUGGAAACGCGCUCUAUAUUUGCUUCCGUUGGUGUCUGUGGCUAAAAUGUGAAAGUGGGUUUGAAAUGUGCCCUAUAUUUGUAAGAAAACUUCUUAAUAAUUCUAAAAUUAGUGUUGGGUGAAGGAAUAAGGCUGGAAUCCCGAAAUUUGUUAUUCAAGUCUCUGUGGUUAAGAUAUGGAAGUGGGUUUGGAAAUGUGCCCUUUAUUUGCAAGAAAAAUUCUUUAUAAAACUAAAAUUGCAAUUGGAUGAAGGAAUAAGGCAGGAAUUCGGAAAAUUUUUAUUUAGGCACCUGAUGUUGUCAUAAGUUAAAAUAUAGAGGUAGUCUUAGAAAAGCGUUCUAUAUAUGUACAAAAACUACUAAAUAAUACUAAAUUUGGUAUUGACUGAAGGAAUAAGGAUGGAAUCCCGAAAUUUGUUAUUUAGGUCUCUGUUGGUGUCUGUGGUUAAGAUAUUCAAAUGGUUUUAGAAAUGUUCCCUAUAUUUGUAAGAAAACUACAUAAUAAUACUAAAAUUGGUAUUGGGUGAAGGAAUAGGGCUGAAUGCCGAAAUUUUGUUAUUUAGGUCUCUGUUGGUGUAUGUGGUUAAGAUAUGGAAGUGGGUUUGGAAACGCGCUCUAUAUUUGCUUCCGUUGGUGUCUGUGGCUAAAAUGUGAAAGUGGGUUUGAAAAUGCGCCCUAUAGUUGUAAGAAAACUUCUCAAU